GAUGAACGCUGGCGGCGUGCCUAAUACAUGCAAGUCGAGCGAACGGACGAGAAGCUUGCUUCUCUGAUGUUAUCGGCGGACGGGUGAGUAACACGUGUAUAACCUACCUAUAAGACUGGGAUAACUUCGGGAAACCGGAGCUAAUACCGGAUAAUAUCUUGAACCGCAUGGUUCAAAAGUGAAAGACGGUCUUGCUGUCACUUCUAGAUGGAUCCCCGCUGCAUUAGCUAGUUGGUAAGGUAACGGCUUACCAAGGCAACGAGGCAUAGCCGACCUGAGAGGGGGAUAGGCGGCCCUGGAGCGGGGCCACGGUCCAGGCGCCUACGGGAGGCAGCAGUAGGGAAUGGGCCGCAAUGGGCGAAAACCUGGCGGAGCAACGCCGAGUGAGUGAUGAAAGUCUUCGGAUCGUAAAACUCUGUUAUGAGGGAAGAACAGAUGUGUAAGGAACUGUGCACAUCGUGACGGUACCUGGUCAGAAAGCCACGGCUAACUACGUG
rnacentral:rRNA from 1 species